rnacentral:rRNA from 1 species
CCCUUAGAUGUUCUGGGCUGCACGCGUGUUACAAUCGGGAGUACAACAAGAUUGCAAAUCCUAGUGGAUGAGUGGUUCUUCGAAAUUUUCUGAAGACUGGGAUAGUUGAUCGAAAUUAUUCAACUCGAACGAGGAAUUCCUUGUAAUUGUAAUUCAUUAUAUUGUAAUGAAUACGUCCCUGCCCUUUGUACACACCGCCCGUCGCUCCUACCGAUUGAACGAUCCGGUGAAUUAUUUGGAGUAGCUCUGGAAGUUGCAGAACUUCCUAUGUCACGAAAUUUUGUAAACCUUAUCGUUUAGAGGAAGGAAAAGUCGUAACA